AGUAAGGAAUAUUGGUCAAUGGACGCAAGUCUGAACCAGCCAUGCCGCGUGGAGGAUGAAGGUCCUCUGGAUUGUAAACUUCUUUUAUCUGGGAAGAAACCCCUUGAUUCUUCGAGGGUUGACGGUACCAGAUGAAUAAGCACCGGCUAACUCCGUGCCAGCAGCCGCGGUAAUACGGAGGGUGCAAGCGUUAUCCGGAUUCACUGGGUUUAAAGGGUGCGUAGGUGGAUUGCCAAGUCCGUGGUGAAAUCUCCGAGCUUAACUCGGAAACUGCCGUGGAUACUGGUAGUCUUGAAUACCGUGGAGGUUAGCGGAAUAUGUCAUGUAGCGGUGAAAUGCUUAGAUAUGACAUAGAACACCAAUUGCGAAGGCAGCUGGCUACACGAAUAUUGACACUGAGGCACGAAAGCGUGGGGAUCAAA
rnacentral:rRNA from 1 species